GUAGAUGCUAGUCUCUGAGAUUAAGCCAUGCAUGUUUAUGUAAUAAAGGACGAAUAGCUCAGUAAAACUGCGUUUAUUUAAUCUGUUUGAAAAGAUAACUACGUGAAAAUGUAGCUAAGAGAACAGAAUAAGACGUAGCACUAUCAGUUAGUUGGUAGUGUAAUGGACUACCAAGACGAUGACGGUUAACGGGGAAUCAGGGUUUGAUACCGGAGAGGGAGCCUUAAAAACGGCUACCACAUCUAAGGAAGGCAGCAGGCACGCAAAUUACCCAAUGACCGAAGGUCGAGGUAGUGACGAAAAAUAACGAUACAGGACUCAUCUGAGGCCCUGUAAUCGGAAUGAGUACACUUUAAAACCGUCCCCGAGGAUCUAUUGGAGGGCAAGUCUG
rnacentral:rRNA from 1 species